rnacentral:rRNA from 1 species
CCUACGGGAGGCAGCAGUGGGGAAUAUUGGGCAAUGGGCGCAAGCCUGACCCAGCAACGCCGCGUGAAGGAAGAAGGCUUUCGGGUUGUAAACUUCUUUUCGCAGGGACGAAGAAAGUGACGGUACCGGAGGAAUAAGCAACGGCUAACUACGGGCCAGCAGCCGCGGUAAUACGUAGGUGGCAAGCGUUAUCCGGAUUUACGGGGUGUAAAGGGCGUGUAGGCGGGAAAGCAAGUCAGCUGUGAAAACCCUGGGCUCAACCUGUGGCCUGCAUUUGAAACGGUUUUUCUUGAGUACUGGAGAGGCAGCCGGAAUUCCUAGUGUAGCGGUGAACUGCGUAGAUAUUAGGCGGAACACCAGUGGCGAAGGCGGUCUGCUGGACAGCAACUGACGCUGAGGCGCGAAAGCGUGGGGAGCAAACAGGAUUAGAUACCCGGGUAGUC